rnacentral:rRNA from 1 species
GACGAACGCUGGCGGCGUGCUUAACACAUGCAAGUCGAACGGAAAGGCCCUGCUUUUGUGGGGUGCUCGAGUGGCGAACGGGUGAGUAACACGUGAGUAACCUGCCCUUGACUUUGGGAUAACUUCAGGAAACUGGGGCUAAUACCGGAUAGGAGCUCCUGCUGCAUGGUGGGGGUUGGAAAGUUUCGGCGGUUGGGGAUGGACUCGCGGCUUAUCAGCUUGUUGGUGGGGUAGUGGCUUACCAAGGCUUUGACGGGUAGCCGGCCUGAGAGGGUGACCGGCGACGGUGGGACGGAGAUCCACCGCAGGCUCGUGGGGGAGGGAGGCGGGGGAAAGAUGGAGACAGCGGCGGCCGCGGGGCGCCGGCACGGGGGGGGGGGGCGGACGGUCUGCGGGUGGUAACCCGCUUCCGCGGGUGAGGAGGCGGGAGCGACGGUAAGGGGAAAAGAAGCACCGGAUAACUGCGGGCCAGCAGCGGCUGUAAUAAGCGGAAGAGCACCCGUCCGAAC